UACGAAGGGGGCUAGCGUUGUUCGGAAUUACUGGGCGUAAAGGGCGCGUAGGCGGGAUGGCAAGUCGGUCGUGAAAUCCCUCGGCUCAACUGAGGAUCGUCGAUCGAUACUGCCGUUCUUGAGGAUUGCAGAGGAGACUGGAAUUCCCGGUGUAGCGGUGAAAUGUGUAGAGAUCGGGAGGAACACCGGUGGCGAAAGCGAUCGACUGGACCUCUUCUGACGCUGAGGCGCGAAAGCCAGGGGAGCAAACGGG
rnacentral:rRNA from 1 species